GACGAACCGAGCGAACGUUAUUCGGAAUCACUGGGCUUAAAGGGUGCGUAGGCGGGCACGCGAGUCAGGGGUGAAAUCCCACGGCCCAACCGUGGAAGUGCCUCUGAUACCGCGAGUCUCGAGGGGGAUAGGGGCGUGCGGGAACUUCCGGUGGAGCGGUGAAAUGCGUGAGAUAUCGGAAGGAACACCGGUGGCGAAAGCGGCGCGCUGGAUCCCUACGUGACGCUGAGGCACGAAAGCCAGGGGAGCAAACGGG
rnacentral:rRNA from 1 species